GCCAGAGUAGCUCAGUUGGUAGAGCAGCUGAUUUGUAAUCAGCUGGUCGGGGGUUCGAGUCCCUUCUCUGGCU
rnacentral:tRNA from 6 species